CAUAAUUUGUGUGAAAAUAGUUUUCUAAAUUCAAAAUUUAAGUGUCUUGGCUUGACCAUCGACACUGGUCAUGCCAUCGUCUGUGGAUCACGUGGUACACCACGUACUGGCCCCAAUGGCAAUCAACGUCCUCGAUUGCGUGGUGCCAGUUAUCCGCCAACUGGUGAUCAUCAUGCAUCAGGCGUUUCUAGUUGGUCAUCAGGAAUCGGAGCCCGUGAUCGAUGUAUCCGGCUUGAUUCAGCCCGUUCGUAAAAUAGUCUUGAUGGUGAACGAUCCAACGCCGGAGUACCAUGUCGACCAGGAGCCGGUGGUCAAUUCGGAUGACAUCAACGUCCUGAUGAAUGGAAUUUCGCGAAGUAUCCGAAAUCUGGCCCGCUCGACCUAUGAUACCAUCUCGGCGAUCGCUGGAGAGUAGCCCCAGAAUUAGUUGUCAUAGUGGACGACCCAAAAAUUCAACAUCGACCCUCCUAAUCCCCCAGAAGAUCCUGCUCCUUCGCCGAAGACAUGGAAACGGUGCACACGGCCAUCGGGGUUGCGGGCAUAGUGGCCAUGUUCUUCGUGGUGACCCGAUCGGUAACUCAAGUAGGCGGCAUGGUGUUUAACCAAUCCCGUGAUCCGAUUGCUGACCUUGUGAGCCGUGGUGGUCCAGUGGCGGAUCAGCUGUCCGCCGUCGAGGGGGAAACUCCUCUAGUGGAGGGCGACCGCAUGGAUGGCGCCUGUUCCGUGGUACAAAGCAUUGGAGGCAAGGCGUGUGCCUUGAUAGGGCCAUUGCUCCCAAAGUUUCCGACUGAACGGAAUUCCGAGGUUUCCCCGAAGGAAGUCGAAAAAGAUAAAAUGGACUCGGAGCAGGUGGUAGUAAAACAGGAAGCUCCGCCUGCGGCAGAUUUACCGGAAGAGGAGUAGGAUCUAUCCAGCAAUGAUGUCGAAUGGGAAGGCUUUCAGAAUGCUUUGUGUGAUUCGAAACCAGACGAGCUCAUUCAUUUUGAACAGCUUGGACUGAUCACAUCUCUUUCGUGAAAUAGAACACAAAAAAGUAAUAUGAAAAAUUGAACUAAAAUUCUAAAUUCGUAGCCAAGGACUAGCUUCAACGUAUUUCUUCAGCAAACAAAAAUCACAGUUGCAGCUGUACCAUUUGACCCUGCAGAUCUGCAGAUUCCAGAAGUGAUUCGCGAGUGUUCCUACCCAAAUCCAAAACUUUCAAAAUGGUUCUGAUGCUUUGCUGCAGCUUCGAUCCCUUCUACGUGGGACCCUGCCCACCCGGCUGCCUGGCUCCUUUGAUGGGGGGAACUCCCUACUGCGGAUGCGGUCCCUGUGGAGGUUGCUGUAGUCCUUGCUGUGGUCCUUGUGGUGGCUGCAGCUCGUGUCCCUGCGGCUGGUGAAGUGCUCACUGGAAAAAGAAAAGAAUGGUCUCUAACCGCUAUCAUAGGCAAUACUAAGCGCAUGCGGUAAGAAGCUUCUUCCGGGAUCAAGCUUCUGUCAAAGACUGCUGGAGGGAUAUAUUGGUGUUAGAAACCCUUUUCCUUGGCCGGGGCUAAAACACCCAAGCUCUCGUAUACAUUUAGAAUUUUUAUUAUGGCUGUUCAGUAAUAAAAUGAAUUAAAAUACAAAA
rnacentral:misc_RNA from 1 species